GAAAACUGAAAACACAAUCAAACAGGCCCUAACUUAUCUUUCUGCUGAAUUUUGACUCAAUGUUUUCUAUUUCCUAUUUGCAUCCAGAUAGCCCCAAUUUCAUGCCUCAUUGAGUUUUUUCCUACUACCAGUCCUCAAUAAUGAGAAGGGAUUUCAUGGAUGGAUUUGUAGGAUUGUUAAGGUUUUCAUGAGGAACUCUGUAGUCUGUAAUCAAGAUGAACAAUCAUUCUAUGUAAAUGGAAAAGUGAUCAGGGUCAUGUGGUGCAUGGUGAUCCUAAUAUAAGCAAAAGUUGCAUCAGGAACGUGUUUUUUGAGGUAGGAGAAGGAACUCCUUUCGUUAGAUUUCUUUAGUGCGGUGAGGAGGAGGAACAUGGUGGUUAUGAUCAUCAGAAAAUGGAACAUAGUGCAUUCGGUCAUUUGGAGGUGGGGGUGCUGAUGCUAAUUUUCCUGUGACACCAAACAUGGUUUCUGAUUUUGCAACACCAUCUUAUGGUGGUGACAGUUUUUCUCUCAAGAGAAGGAGGGAAGAUGGUGGUUUCUCAUGUAGAGCUUCAUCCCCUGUUAUCCCCCAAGUUUUUGGGUUUGAAAUGAGGGAAAACUCCUUUGAGGGCCAUACCCAGAGUUUCUAAAAGGAUUAAGAAAAUGUGCAUGGACUAAGGACAGACAAGCAUAUGUGAAGCGUAGCCACUCAUGCCUCCAGAAUGCAAUUCACACUCCAUCUUAGAAUGGAAGACCGAAGAUGACACAGAAAAAGAGAGAGCUGUAGAAAUAGAGUUUGGCCUGCAUGUUUGAUGUUUGGUUUGAUUUGUCACCUUGAAGUUAUUUCUAAGUGAUCUCACAAUAGCAUUCAGGAUAGAAAUUUUAGACGUAGAAAGUGGUUCCACAUUAUCACCAAUCUCAUUUUCAUCAAGAGCUUCAUUUAACUAUUUCACUUCUGCCUCCGGUACCAAGAGAGUCAAGACAUCUUUCUUUGAGCACAAUAGAAUUUUGUAGUUCAGGAACUGUAUUAUCACUAGCAUUUUGUAAAAUUUCCUUAGAACCAUACUACCAUUAAGAUAACAUAUUUUUUUCCAACCAA